rnacentral:rRNA from 1 species
UACGGAGGAUUCGAGCGUUGUCCGGAUUUAUUGGGUUUAAAGGGUGCGUAGGCGGAUUAUUAAGUCAGAGGUGAAAGCCGGCAGCUCAACUGUCGAAUUGCCUUUGAAACUGGUAGUCUUGAAUACUGUUGAGGUGGGCGGAAUGUAUCAUGUAGCGGUGAAAUGCUUAGAUAUGAUACAGAACACCGAUUGCGAAGGCAGCUCACUAAGCAGUUAUUGACGCUGAGGCACGAAAGCGUGGGGAUCAAACAGG